UGGCUUUCAGCCCCUGGGAAUUAUGGGAUGUAAAUUCCCAGAAUCCUCCAAUGGACCAUUUCCAGCAUGUCUUUGAACUCCUCAGUUGAAGAAGACAUUUGGGAUUUGACAUCUACCCAUCUUAAAGCAUGCUGGCCAGGGAAUUCUGGGAAUUGUAGUCUAUCAGUCUUAAAGCAUGCUGGCCAGGGAAUUCUGGGGGUUGAAGUCCACCCAUCUGAAAGUUGCCAAGGUUGGGAAACGUUCUCCUAAUCUCUCAUCUUCCCCUUCUCCAAUCUUUUCCAGAAGUACCAGUAAGAAGGUCAUUUACAGCCAGCCUUCCAACCGAAGCGACGGUGACUUUAAACAAACUUCUUCCUUCCUGGUCUGAUCGUGGCUUACGGACUUUGUGUUUUAAACUCGACCAGGCUCAGGAGUGCUGUAAAUGUUCCCGGUGGAUCUUUGUAAUUAAGUGUGAUUUUUUUUCAGUGGUUAUUUUUUUAAUAUAUAUAAAUAUAUGUAUGUGUAUAAAAUAAUAGUUUGCCUUUACAUAUUUUUUUUAAAAAACAGUUGCUAUUUAAAAAGGCGGUGCUUCCAGCCUUCUAUUCAGGAUAUUUUCAUCGUUUUUAAGAACUGGAGCCUUGAGUUCUGGUACAAAAUGACUUAAUUCCGUAGUGUGCCUAAUUUUUUCAGGCUGAUAUCUUGUCACUCAAAUUCAGUUUGAGGUAGUUAUGAGUUUAAGGACAGGGGUUAAGAAGUGGAUUUCAUUUCUGUCCUCCAAAAGUCAGUCGUUUCCAACCGUGGCAACUUUAAGAUGGGUGGACUUCAACUCCCAGAAAGAUGGCUGGGGAAUUCUGGGAGUUGAAAUCCACCCAUCUUAAAGUUGCCAUGGUUGAGAAAUGCUGAUCUAGAGGCCAAAUUUGAACAAGAACCCAACUCCUGCAUUUAAUUGUGUAGCAGAUAAAAUAGCCAUAGUGCAUUCCCUCUGUCAAGGAAGUUUGUGCUGAAGGACGAUUGCUAAACCUCUCUUCCUUAGGGAGGGAGUUAGAUUUGCUGAAAUUACUCCAGCUAGGACUCUCUCUCUCUCUCUUACCAAUAUUUGCUUUUAUUAAUAUUAUGAUAUUCUUAUAUGUUUUUUUUAAAUGCUGGACACCAAAAAUGCUGGAAAUAAACUUUUGAUUCAACAAAUGUGU
rnacentral:lncRNA from 1 species